UGAGCCAAGUCUUUACUCUCUGAAGAUGUCAUUAAAACCACCUCAAAGUCUCUCUGCUUCACACUGUGAUUUUCAGGAAUUGCUUAAAGAUUCAUCCUUCUCCUGAGGGACAGAGCACGGAGGAGGAUCUGAAUUUGUUCAAGGUGGUAGCUGUUAUCCAAGACCAGUAAGGACCUGAUGGCAGCAAGAAUGUCGAGAUACCUAUAGCCAUGCAGAGCUGCCCAUAGAUGACUUGAUUCUUCAUUUUUUGUGUGAAAUUGAAAUUUAUGGAUGUCCUCAGAGCAUGUCUAAACCUUCAAGUUGAAGAACUCCCAGUCAUGCUUCUCGGUGCACAUGAAACAACGCGUCAGGUCAUGCACAGCAUGUCAUCAGACUCAUGAGGCUGAUUGGCUUUGGGAAACACAGCACAGCUGCAGCUCUACUAAGGAACAUACAAAGGCUUUCUGAAUAUUGUUUCUUCAAAGUGUUUAAAAAUAAAAUCUUUGUGUGGCUGUGUUUCUGAGCUUAUACUGCAGUCAAAGUAAUGAUUGCUAUACUCAAGAACUAAUGCGGAUCCCAGGGCUUGAAUUUUUUGCAGACUAUAAGCAGAUUCACAGUUAAACCAUUAUUAUGGCUGUUACAGGAAAAGGUAUGCCAUGGAACUGAGCAUUCACAGAAGACAUGGUUGGUCUCUGAGUCUUAUUUGGCCAUGGUUUAUGAUUUUACCCACUUCAAUGUUUGUUUUCGUUAUUUAAUUAAAAAAAUAAAAUCUUUAUUAGCCAUUUCUCAUUUAAUUCUGAUCAGAUGGAUUCAGAUCAUAAUGGUUUCUUUAUUCUUAACUCAAGGAAUAAAUAAGGUAGGACGUGUUCAUUAUUUAUUCUUCAUGACUGUUUACUUCUGUGUUUAAAAAACACAUGGAGAGAUGUAAUUGCAAAACCACAGCUUUUGCACAGGGAGAGCUAAAUUUAGAGCAAUUGGAAUGACUUCUAAUGAUGUAUUCUUUUAUGGCCUUUCCUCAAAGAGAAACUGUGUCUUAAAUUUUUAAAUAAUGAUAUAGGAUGUUCUGUUCCUACAGUAUUCAAAUAAUCACUUUUAAAGGAUCAGAUGCAUAAAGUUUCUUUUAUCUUUAUGUCCUUAUUUUAAACAAGUUGAAAUGCUAG